rnacentral:rRNA from 1 species
AGGACGAACGCUGGCGGCGUGCUUAACACAUGCAAGUCGAGCGGAAAGGCCCUUCGGGGUACUCGAGCGGCGAACGGGUGAGUAACACGUGAGUAACCUGCCCCUAGCUUCGGGAUAGCUCCGGGAAACCGGAAUUAAUACCGGAUACGACAACGGCCGACAUCGGCCGUGGUGGAAAGAUUUAUCGGCUAGGGAUGGGCUCGCGGCCUAUCAGCUUGUUGGUGGGGUAACUGCCUACCAAGGCGACGACGGGUAGCCGGCCUGAGAGGGCGACCGGCCACACUGGGACUGAGACACGGCCCAGACUCCUACGGGAGGCAGCAGUGGGGAAUAUUGCGCAAUGGGCGAAAGCCUGACGCAGCGACGCCGCGUGGGGGAUGAAGGCCUUCGGGUUGUAAACCCCUUUCGGCAGGGACGAAGCGAAAGUGACGGUACCUGCAGAAGAAGCGCCGGCUAACUACGUGCCAGCAGCCGC